rnacentral:rRNA from 1 species
GAUCUCUUUGAGGCCCAUUAUCUGAAUGAGAACAAUUCAAAUCCUUUAACGAGGAUCUAGCGGAGGGCAAGUCUGGUGCCAGCAGCCGCGGUAAUUCCAGCUCCGCAGGUGUAUAUCUAUGCUGCUGCGGUUAAAAAGCUCGUAGUUGGAUCUGCGUGCUCGGAACUGGUUGGCUCACUGAGUUCAAACUGGUCUCCGGCGCUUUAUUUGCUGGUUUUCCCUUGAUGCUCUUAACCGGGUGUCUCGGGUGGCUAGCGUGUUUACUUUGAAAAAAUUAGAGUGCUCAAUACAGGCGCAAAGCCUUGAAUAGUGGUACAUGGAAUAAUAGAAUAGGACCUCGGCUCUAUUUUGUUGGUUUUCGGAACACGAGGUAAUGAUUAAGAGGGACAGACGGGGGCAUUCGUAUUGCGACGUUAGAGGUGAAAUUCUUGGAUCGUCGCAAGACGGACGACUGCGAAAGCAUUUGCCAAGAAUGUUUUCAUUAAUCAAGAACGAAAGUUAGAGGUUCGAAGGCGAUCAGAUACCGCCCUAGUUCUAACCGUAAACGAUGCCAACUAGCGAUUCGCAGGCGUUAAACAACGACCUUGCGGGCAGCUUCCCGGAAACGAAAGUGUUCCGGUUCCGGGGGAAGUAUGGUUGCAAAGCUGAAACUUAAAGGAAUUGACGGAAGGGCACCACCAGGUGUGGAGCCUGCGGCUUAAUUUGACCCAACACGGGAAAACUCACCCGGCCCGGACACCGUAAGGAUUGACAGAUUGAGAGCUCUUUCUUGAUUCGGUGGGUGGUGGUGCAUGGCCGUUCUUAGUUGGUGGAGCGAUUUGUCUGGUUUAUUCCGAUAACGAACGAGACUCUGGCCUACUAAAUAGUGGGCGGGUUCUUUCUGUCCGCAACACUUCUUAGAGGGACAAGCGGUGUUCAGCCGCACGAGAUUGAGCAAUAACAGGUCUGUGAUGCCCUUAGAUGUCCGGGGCUGCACGCGCGCUACACUGAAGGAAUCAGCGUGCUUUCUGACCUUGCCCGAAAGGGCUGGGUAACCCGAUGAAAAUCCUUCGUGAUUGGGAUAGGGACUUGCAAUUAUUUCCCUUGAACGAGGAAUUCCCAGUAAGUGUGGGUCAUAAGCUCGCGUUGAUUACGUCCCUGCCCUUUGUACACACCGCCCGUCGCUGCCCGGGACUGAGCCGUUUCGAGAAGAACAGGGACCGUCGUUGAAGGGCCCUAACGGGCUUUUCUCUGAUAGAAACUGUUUU